GGCAGAGGUGGCAAGCGUUGUUCGGAUUCAUUGGGUGUAAAGGGUCCGUAGGUGGCCCGGUAAGUCCGGCGUGAAAUCCCAGAGCUCAACUCUGGAACUGCGUUGGAAACUAUCGGGCUUGAGUGCCGAAGAGGUAAGGGGAAUUCCAGGUGUAAGGGUGAAAUCUGUAGAUAUCUGGAGGAACACCAGUGGCGAAGGCGCCUUACUGGUCGGUUACUGACGCUGAGGGACGAAAGCAAGGGGAGCAAACAGG
rnacentral:rRNA from 1 species